GACGAACCGUGCAAACGUUGUUCGGAAUCACUGGGCUUAAAGGGCGCGUAGGCGGACUGUCAAGUCAGGGGUGAAAUCUUUCGGCUCAACCGGAAAACUGCCUUUGAUACUGACAGCCUUGAGGGAGGUAGGGGCAUGUGGAACUUCCGGUGGAGCGGUGAAAUGCGUUGAUAUCGGAAGGAACGCCGGUGGCGAAAGCGACGUGCUGGAUCUCUUCUGACGCUGAGGCGCGAAAGCUAGGGGAGCGAACGGG
rnacentral:rRNA from 1 species